AACUGGGGAGUCUGAUUGAUCAGACUGAGAGGCAGAUUGUAUCCUGCGACCCACAGAACCUGAUCUGGGUAAUGCCAGCGAAGGGAAACA
rnacentral:ncRNA from 1 species